GCUCUGGUGGCCUAGUGGUUAAGAGUGUCUGCCUCAGAUGCAGGAGGGCAUGGGUUCAAGUCCUGGUCAAGUCA